UGGCACUUAUAUUUAUAAGUCUAUAUACAUCAGUAUGUAUUAGACCUAAGACAUCAUUAGCUCUUUCACCUUUUUCCUUAAAAGGUGAUUUAGUCAUCUUAGCAAGCAGAUAGGAUUCACAAGUUGGUAAUGAUUCACAAUCAUCUAUUUCAAGGACAUGCUUUUUGAUUAACCUGUCAAUCCUGUUUUUGCUCACAUGAUCAAGCCUACAAUGCCA
rnacentral:lncRNA from 1 species